rnacentral:rRNA from 1 species
GUAGGUGGCAAGCGUUGUCCGGAAUUAUUGGGCGUAAAGCGCGCGCAGGCGGUUCUUUAAGUCUGAUGUGAAAGCCCACGGCUCAACCGUGGAGGGUCAUUGGAAACUGGAGAACUUGAGUACAGAAGAGGAAAGCGGAAUUCCACGUGUAGCGGUGAAAUGCGUAGAGAUGUGGAGGAACACCAGUGGCGAAGGCGGCUUUCUGGUCUGUAACUGACGCUGAGGCGCGAAAGCGUGGGGAGCAAACAGGGAUUAGAUACCCUGGUAGUCCACGCCGUAAACGAUGAGUGCUAAGUGUUAGGGGGUUUCCCGCCCCUUAGUGCUGCAGCUAACGCAGUUAAGCACUCCGCCUGGGGGAUACGGCCGCAAGGCUG